rnacentral:rRNA from 1 species
UUCUGUUGUUAAAAUAGGAGAGCAAAUCCGCCGAAUUUAAGCAUAUAAUUAAGCGGAAGAAAAGAAAAUAACAAUGAUUCCUUUAGUAACGGCGAGUGAACAAGGAAUAGCUCAAGCGGAUAAUCUGUGUGUCUUUUCCUAUUUAAAGGUUUAGCGCAAAGAAUUGUCGUGUAUUAAAAGACUAUAGUAACCUUCUGGUAGCCGUAAAGAUAAGACAUAUGUUACGAAGCGAGGUGGAAUGCCUCCCCCGAAGAGGGUGAAAGGCCCGUAGUAAUCAUAGGGCUUAGUGUUAUCAGAUAACCUCUAUCAGUAAAGAGUCGUGUUCUUUGAGAUUGGAGCACAAAUGCGUGUGAUACAUUUCACAUAAAGCUAAAUAUGUGUAGGAGACCGAUAGCAAACAAGUACCGUGAGGGAAAGAUGAAAUAGUACUCAGGAAUGAGCAAUUAAAAAGUACCUGAAAUCGUUAAGGUGGAACGGAUUAAAAGAGAAAAAAAGUAUUGCAGUCAACAUAAGUUGUUGCAGCGACAGUUUAUGUCUAACUGCUUUAUUAAAAGAAACAUCAGUAAAAGGUUUUAGAUCUAUUCGGAUAAAGACUGUUGCUGAUUAGCAUUUAAUUUUACCUUCGGGAUAAAAUUAAUAGACUUUUCACAUUAUCCUUUUGUUAAAAAAGGAUAAAGGGUUUUUAUAGAAAUCACGAAACAAAAAUAAGUGAUAGAUAGUCCAUUUUACUGAGGUUAACACACAAAUGUGUAUUGCUUUGUAAUUUAUAUUCGCCAAGAAUAUAUUUUACAGCUUCGCGUUUUAAGUUGUUUCUAACGAAUACUCUUUUAACCCACUCGUCUUGAAACACGGACCAAGGAGUCUAGCAAAUGUGCGAGUGUAUAUGAUAUAUUAAACAUUUUCAGUACGUUACGACGUGCUUAUACGCAUAAUUAAUGUAAUAUAUUAUAUUUGUAGAACCAGCUGGAGGUUUCUAACUUCCAGUUGGCGCAUACAAUACCGGUAGGCAAAUACGCCUUAUUGAGUAUGAGCAUAUUUGGUAGGACCCGAGAGGCUUUGAACUAAGCGUGGUGAGAUUGAAGUCAGACGAAAGUCUGAUGGAGGAUCGAAUUGAUACUGACGUGCAAAUCGUUCAUUUCAGUCACGUUUAGGGGCGAAAGACUAAUCGAAAAGCCUAUUAGCUGGUUAUUUUCGAAAGAUCUCUCAGGAUCGCUGGAGUUGAUUAAUAUAAUUUUACCAGGUAGAGAUAAUGAUUAGAGGACUCAGGGAAUUGAAUUUCCUUGACCUAUUCUCAAACUCCCAAUGGGUAAAAAGGGUUUAAAUAGCUUAAUUUCUUUUGUAUUUAGCUCGAUAUAAAUAAAAUAACUCCAAGUGGGCCAUUUUUGGUAAGCAGAACUGGCGAUGAGGGAUGCUCCUAACGUCUGGAUAAGGUGCCUAAAUAUUCGCUCAUCAGAUCCCAUAAAAGGUGUUGGUUCAUUAUGACAGUAGGACGGUGGUCAUGGAAGUCGAAAUCCGCUAAGGAGUGUGUAACAACUUACCUACCGAAUGAACUAGCCCUGAAAAUGGAUGGCGCUAAAGCGAAUUACCGAUACCAGGCCAUAAAAGGAAAGGAAAAAGGGUGGUUUUACCACCUUUUCUUCUUUAUAAAUCUUUUAUGAGUAGAAAAUCGUGGGGUUUUGUGUCGAAGCGAAAUACGUGAGUUUUCGUGGAACAUAUCCCUAGUGCAGAUCUUGGUGGAAGUAGCAACUAUUCAAAUGAGAACUUUGAAGACUGAAGUGGAGAAGGGUUUCUUGUCAACUGUGUUUGUACAAGAGUUAGCCGCUCCUAAGAGACAGCUGAAAAGUGUUUAAGUUAGGGCAAUGUUGUAGGUUUUUUAACAUAUGACAUAAUCCCUGUUCUCAAAAGGGAAACAGGUUUAUAUUCCUGUGCCAAAACAAAUCUAUGGGUUCCUAAAAAUUUAAGAUGGCAACAUAUAGACAAAUGAACCUCUUUACAUAGGUUUUACCAUCGGGGUGCGUUUUCUUUGCACUUUACCUUUAUAGCAUACCUUGGAAUCAAUUUACUUGGAGAAGAGGUAUGUUGAAGUCAAUUCAGAUAUAUUGUUCAUAGGAACUUCGGUUCCUAUUUACAAUUAUCCGUUUUGUAGCAAUAGUAAUUCGUUUUUAUGAAUUAUUCGAUUUGGUAUAAACUAUCCUUGAAAAAAGGGGGGAACGACAAACCAAAGGCGGGAGAGCCGCUACAGACGAACCAGCAAUCGCAAGAUUGUUGGAUCGUUUGUAAACGCUCUUUAGUUUUUGGUAUGUAAAACUCUAAUUUGUUAAAAUGAGCGUACCAACAACCGCAUCAGGUCUCCAAGGUUAGUAACCUCUGGUUAAAUAGAAAAAAGUAAGUAAGGGAAGUCGGCAAAAUAGAUCCGUAACUUCGGGAAAAGGAUUGGCUCUGAGGACAUUAGAAUGGGAAGGAAUCGAAAAUAGUCGAAACAAGAGGCAUUGAGGUGCUUUACAUGUUCUCACGAACGUGCAUCGCAUUUCUCUAGCGCUCUGUUUCUUCUGUUCUCUUUUCCACCCCCCAUUCGCCGUCAUUAUGGUCUUUCGCUCCGGCGAUCGACGUACUUGACACCUAUAAUGUUAACUCAGAACUGAAACGGACAAGGGGAAUCCGACUGUUUAAUUAAAACAUAGCAUUGUGACAAGCCAUAACUGGUAUUAACACAAUGUGAUUUCUGCCCAGUGCUUUGAAUGUCAACUUGAUGAAAUUCAAUUAAGCGCAGGUAAACGGCGGGAGUAACUAUGACUCUCUUAAGGUAGCCAAAUGCCUCGUCAUCUAAUUAGUGACGCGCAUGAAUGGAUUAACGAGAUUCCCACUGUCCCUACUUGCUAUCUAGCGAAACCACAGCCAAGGGAACGGGCUUGGCUAAAUCAGCGGGGAAAGAAGACCCUGUUGAGCUUUACUCUAGUCUGGCUUUGUGAAACGACUUAAGAGGUGUAGCAUAAGUGGGAGUAGAGAUCGCAAGGUCUUUGCAACAGUGAAAUACCACUACUUUUAACGUUGUUUUACUAAUCCAUUUAUUGGAUAUGUAUGUAAAAAUUGCUCCUUCGGAAGAAGGGGUUAAUUUCUACAUAUUGUCGUAGAAUUUGUAGUUAGCUGAGCACGCAAGUGCGCAGUUAUCUAUGGUUCCGGUUCUUAUGGAGACAUAGUCAGGUGGGGAGUUUGACUGGGGCGGUACAUCUGUUAAAUAAUAACGCAGAUGUCCAAAGACAAGCUCAGAGAGAACAGAAAUCUCUUGUAGACUAAAAGGGGAAAAGCUUGUUUGAUUUUUACUUUCAGAAAAAGUAGAAAACGUGAAAGCGUGGCCUAUCGAUCCUUUA